AUUGAACGCUAGCGGGAUGCCUUACACAUGCAAGUCGAACGGCAGCGCGGACUUCGGUCUGGCGGCGAGUGGCGAACGGGUGAGUAAUGUAUCGGAACGUGCCCAGUAGCGGGGGACAACCACUCGAAAGAGUGGCUAAUACCGCAUACGCCCUACGGGGAAAGGGGGGGAGUCGCAAGACCUCUCACUAUUGGAGCGGCCGAUAUCGGAUUAGCUAGUUGGUGGGGUAAAGGCCUACCAAGGCGACGAUCCGUAGCUGGUUUGAGAGGACGACCAGCCACACUGGGACUGAGACACGGCCCCAGACUCCUACGGGAGGCAGCAGUGGGGAAUUUUGGACAAUGGGGGAAACCCUGAUCCAGCCAUUCCGCGUGUGCGAUGAAGGCCUCGG
rnacentral:rRNA from 1 species